CUCACGCCUGUAAUCCCAGCACUUUGGGAGGCCGAGGCGGGCAGAUCACAAGGUCAGGAGAUCGAGAUCAUCCUGGCUAACACGGUGAAACCCUGUCUCUACUAAAAAUACAAAAAAUUCGCCGGGCGUGGUGGCGGGCGCCUGUAGUCCCAGCUACUUGGGAGGCUGGGGCAGGAGAAUCACUUGAACCCAGGAGGCGGAGGUUGCAGUGAGCCCAGAUCCCG
rnacentral:lncRNA from 1 species